UACGUAGGUGGCGAGCGUUGUCCGGAUUUACUGGGCGUAAAGAGCGCGCAGGCGGUCGUUCAAGUCGCGUGUGAAAGCCCCCGGCUCAACUGGGGAGGGUCAUUCGAUACUGAUCGACUGGAAGGCAGGAGAGGGAAGCGGAAUUCCCGGUGUAGUGGUGAAAUGGCGCAGAUAUCAGGAAGAACACCCGUGGCUAAGGCGGCUCUCUAGUACGGUACUGACGCUGAGACGCGAAAGCGUGGGGAGCGAACGAG
rnacentral:rRNA from 1 species